rnacentral:rRNA from 1 species
UACGGGGGGGGCAAGCGUUGUUCGGAAUUACUGGGCGUAAAGGGCGCGUAGGCGGCACGGCAAGUCGGGAGUGAAAGCCCGGGGCUCAACCCCGGAGGGUCUCUCGAAACUGCCGAGCUAGAGUGCGGAAGAGGCAAUCGGAAUUCCCAGUGUAGCGGUGAAAUGCGUAGAUAUUGGGAAGAACACCGGAGGCGAAGGCGGAUUGCUGGGCCGACACUGACGCUGAGGCGCGAAAGCGUGGGGAGCAAACAGG